GCCUCGGUAGCAGUAGGUAGCGCAGUAGGUAGCGCGUCAGUCUCAUAAUCUGAAGGUCGUGAGUUCGAUCCUCACCCGGGGCA